rnacentral:misc_RNA from 1 species
AGAAUAGAACAGAAUAAGAACAGAACAGAAUAGAACAGAACAGAAUAGAAUAGAAUAAGAACAGAAGAGAACAGAAUGGAACAGAACAGAAUAGAACAGAACAGAAUAAAUAGAGAUCAAAAUAGAAUAGAACAGAAUAGAACAGAAUAGAACAGAAUAGAACAGAAUAGAACAGAAUAGAACAGAAUAGAACAGAAUAGAAUAGAACAGAAUAGAAUAGAAUAGAACAGAAUAGAAUAGAAUAGAACAGAAUAGAAUAGAAUAGAACAGAAUAAGAACAGAACAGA